rnacentral:lncRNA from 10 species
UACAAAUCAGCAAGGAUCUAUUUUAUAGUCAGUCAACAAACAACAACAUAAGCACUACAGACUCUUUUAUUUACAACAGUCUUUCAAAAGAAACCUUUCUUCUGCAUCCACGUGCAAGUUAAGUAAGCUUGAGGAACAUCAUCAAGAAUGGGAUGGUGAAUAUAUGAAUAGAAUAGCUGCAACCUCACGUCAGUUGAAUUUAAUCAGUAGAGCAGCUGUGUCCCGUCUUCGGUACCAUGGUGUGGGGGUGUAUUAGUCUUGUUUUCAUGCUGCUGAUAAAGACAUACCGGAGACUGGGAAGAAAAAGAAGUUUAAUUGGACUUACAGUUCCACGUGGCUGGGGAGGCCUCAGAAUCAUGGCGGGAGGCGAAAGGCGUUUCUUACGCAGCAGCAGCAAGAGAAAAUAAGGAGCAAGCAAACGUGGAAACUCCCGAUAAACCCAUUAGAUCUCGUGAGACGUAUUCACUCUCGCGAGAAUAACGCGGGAAAGACCCACCCCCAUGAUUCAACUACCUCCCUCUGGGUCCUUCCCACAAUAUGGGGGAAUUCUGGGGGACACGAUUCAAGUUGACAUUUGAAUGGGGACACAGCCAAACCAUAUCAGGGGGAAUGGGCAUGACUCAAGUUCAAAUCUUUUCUCCAGUAGGGUAUUUAUUAGCCAUGUGACUUUAGGUACAUCACUUCUCCUGAGCCCCCGUUUACUCACACGUAAAACUGGAGAAAUAGGAACCACCUCACAGGCCUUGUUGAGCUGAAACAUUUGAGUUUAACUGGCGCCUCCUGACGCUGGUUCAGUUUGCUCAUCAUUGGUGCGCGCUGUGUCCCGUGAGCCUGCGCUCCGCCCUCGGGCCCUUCCGGGCCGCUUGCUUUUCAUCUUCCCUGUGGGACUCGCCCAGAGACGCCUUCACGCAGCUCCGCGUCAUCUGUGAUUCUGUAGCUUCGGGGAUCCUCUUGUAAACUGCCCGAGUCCCCAGCGGUGCGGGUCUAC